rnacentral:rRNA from 1 species
UGGGGAAUCUUCCGCAAUGGGGGGCGAAAGCCUGACGGAGCAACGCCGCGUGAGUGAAGAAGGUUUUCGGAUCGUAAAGCUCUGUUGUAAGGGACGAGAGACCGUUUCAGGAAAUGGGAGCGGGAGGACGGUACCUUGCGAGAAAGCCACGGCUAACUACGUGCCAGCAGCCGCGGUAAUACGUAGGUGGCGAGCGUUGUCCGGAAUUAUUGGGCGUAAAGGGAGCGCAGGUGGGAGUGUAAGUCAGUCUUAAAAGUGCGGGGCUCAACCCCGUGAUGGGAUUGAAACUACAUUUCUUGAGUGCAGGAGAGGAAAGCGGAAUUCCUAGUGUAGCGGUGAAAUGCGUAGAUAUUAGGAGGAACACCAGUGGCGAAGGCGGCUUUCUGGACUGUAACUGACACUGAGGCUCGAAAGCGUGGGGAGCGAACAGGAUUAGAUACCCUGGUAGU